AACACGCACAAACCAGAAAUUAAACAACAGAGAAAUGAUAAAUCUCUUCUACCAUCCAUUCAAUGCCAUGAAACCGAACUCAAGCUUCCAGUGGUUCAAUUAGAAGAUAAAAAGGAAUUUCAGCUUAGAAAAGAUUCAGAUAAAAAUAAUUUAAUUCCAAUUUCCUCGUUGAAAUCUCUAAAUGAAGGGAAAGAAAAAACUUUACCUAUGAAAGAUACGAACGUUAAUACUCAGAAUAAUAAACCAGAUUAUUUCUUGAGUGUUGACAAUAAGAAUAUUUCAUAUUCAAAUAGUUAUGAUGAAAAUAGCGUAGAAAAUGCUUCAGACAGAAGAAAACAACGUGAAAAAAGUGUUCGUAGGAAAAUACUUAGAAAAUUAGCUUCUCCUCACAAGAAAAGAAGAUUUCGUAAGGAAGAAUCGAUAAUUGCAAAUAAAAGAGACGAUGAAAUAUCAAAGAAAAUAUCUCUUUUGGAGAAAAAAUUUGAUGAGAUUAAACAAAUAUUAGAGGAAAGAUUUUAUAAAUUAGAAGAAAAAGUAACCACAGAAAUGAAAAGGGAGAGAAAGAAAGGAAGUUUACUUCCUUCAAAAAGUAGUCAGUCAUCCGAUGACUACAUGUUUAGUAAGAAUUAGAUCAUUGUCAGAUGACAACAUAUUCAAAUCUCAAUUGGAGGAGAAAAUUCAUAUAAAUAGAGGAUACGCACCAAACACUCUGCACAAUACUGCCUAACACAUCCUCUAGUAUCCUCUAAUCUUUGAUUUUGUGCCAUAUAGAUUGAACUUCUGCCCAAAGGACAGGAAGGUUACAAGUCAAGAAUAAUAUUGAGAAUGUUCCACUUCAUAAACUCAUCUUUCCAAGAAUCAAUGGACAAAUUAUCCAAAAUCAGAAAUAGUUUUGAAAAUUUAAAAGCUUCCUGGGAAAGAAGAGAGCAAAAACCAAAAAUGUGAUGGAGGAAUAUUUCUACAAUGUCGGAGGAUAAUUUUAUGAUAGGUUGCGUAAUUUAUGGUCAGGGUAUACUCACAAACUUACCUUAGAAUACAAAAAACUGGCAAUACAAAGAUGAGAAGGAACAAAAGAUGAGUGUUUAACUCAAAAAAUUAUCCACACUAGAGGCAAUGCAAUUCAGACAUUGAAAGCCAUCAGAUUUCACAAAGGUCCUGAUUAUUCUUGCUUCGAUUCUUCUAAUGAAGACAGAUUGAUAGAAUCAGAACAUAAAAUUGCACGUUUGGAUGCCAAAGACGUGGACAAAAUCAAAAAAUUUAAAUACGAUCGUCUUCCAGAUUACUGUUUUCCUGAGAAAGCGUCUUUACGAAUACUGAUCUUGCCAAUAAAAUUAUAGCUCGAAUUCUUUAUCUUUUAAUUCUUUAUUUGAUAUUUAUUUAAUACAAAACUCAUUUCUUGACACAAAAUAGAAUGGAGCGCAACUUCCAAAUAUUUGAAGAUCAACAUCCGCAUCACAGAUGCAGAUCUCCAUUCCAUCCUAACUUCUAAAGAUCUCCAUUGCAGUCGUGGAUCUUUAAACGUUUACAAGUUCUACUGUGUUCCGUUCUAGUAUCCGAAUAUCUGCAUCUACGUUGCCGAUUCAAAUCUUUAAAUAUUCGGAAAUUGUGCUCCAUUCUAUCCUAGUAUCUAAAGAUCUGCAUCCUCGUCACUGAUGCGGAUACAGACUUUUACGUGCUAGGAAAAUAGUUAUUGUACAUCAUAAAUUUAAUUUUUAUACACUCAAAAAUUAAGUUAUUAAAUGUGAUAUUUAUUCUA